AUGCCCAAUGGUAACUUGGCUGGUUGGAUUCAUCCAAAAUCUCAAGAGCCUGCUACAAGCAACACACUCAGCCUUGCCCAGAGACUUGAUAUUGGUGCCGAUAUUGUGGACGCAGUAGAAUAUCUGCACAACUACUGUCAACCAUCAGUAAUCCAUUGCGACCUUAAGCCAAGCAACAUUCUUCUUUCUGACAACAUGAGUGCCCGAGUUGGAGACUUUGGCAUAUCAAGGAUCCUUCAAGAAAAUACAAGCGGGGUAAUGCAAAAUUAUAUAGCUAUAGGCUAUGUUGCUCCAGGUGACUGA
rnacentral:rRNA from 1 species